rfam:Gossypium raimondii Chr04_contig_1398, whole genome shotgun sequence.
UGUUAAAAAUUUCAUCAAUUUGUAUCGUUAUAAACUGGCUUGACUGACAUAAUAAUCAGACCACGUGUACCUCAUGAUCAUGUAUAGAGAUUAACUUUGAACAGUAAAAAUAGAAGAAAUUUUUAAUA